UACGGGGGGGCAAGCGUUGUUCGGAAUUACUGGGCGUAAAGGGCUUGUAGGUGGCCAACUAAGUCAGACGUGAAAUCCCUCGGCUUAACCGGGGAACUGCGUCUGAUACUGGAUGGCUCGAGUGUGGGAGAGGGAUGCGGAAUUCCAGGUGUAGCGGUGAAAUGCGUAGAUAUCUGGAGGAACACCGGUGGCGAAGGCGGCAUCCUGGACCAUAACUGACACUGAUAAGCGAAAGCCAGGGGAGCAAACGGG
rnacentral:rRNA from 1 species